CCAACCUCCAGACUCUCCCUUUCAAUCCUAAACGAGCCUUCCUAAAACAUCACUUAUUGGCUCAUUUCUUAGUUGUUGAAAGCCAGAGCUCAUCAUUUUCUCCCAAAUUUGCUCUUCCUUCCAUGUUCCCUGUCUCACAAUCAUCCAUCCGGAUGCCCAAGCCAGAAUACCAGUAUCACCUUCAAUUCUCCCUCCCCGUAUCCAGUUGGCCACCAAAAUCAUGAUUCUCCCUCUGAAAUGUUUCUUGGUCAAGAAUAAUGGUGCAUGGAGUGAGCCAGAUGGAUGGGUCAGCAGAAGAAAGGCAGAUGCUGUGACUACUAUAAACACAUGGAAUGGGGGAAGGGAAGUUUCCCAAAAGAAGGACAAUGGGCGAGCAAAACCCACGCAAGCAUCUCAGCAAGGAAUCCAGCAGUCAUGGUAUUCAUACAUCUUGAGAGCUAGCUUCAGAAAAGCACAUACAGAAAACCAAGCCACAGUCACAGGACCCCCUGUUGGCCAAGCCCAACCAGAAGCCAGAGGGCACUGGAGCCUGAUGCUGCCCAUGAAAAUCAGCCUUCUGGGCCCAGAGCAAGGCAGGGAAGGGUGGAGAGACGGUCUGAAGGGAGCAAAUGGAGGCUAUCUGGAGCAUUCCCGUAGCACCUGGCACUGAUCUGAGCAAAAGUAUGAAACCACUGUUUGUUGCACGAAUGACCAUGCUGACCCUGCACCUUCUCUCCUGUGCCUGGAGUCUGGCUGCGGAGGCAAGUCUUGAGGGUUUUGUGUACCUUCCUCCUUUGCUUUGAAGGGGAAAGUGCAGAAGUGAUCCUCAUACUCCAGUCUUGCUACCAUGUGCCCUUUGACAAUCAACGGUAUUUUGGUGAACAACCACAAGACCUGCUAUCUG
rnacentral:lncRNA from 1 species